rnacentral:rRNA from 1 species
UGGGGAAUUUUGGACAAUGGGGGCAACCCUGAUCCAGCAAUGCCGCGUGUGUGAAGAAGGCCUUCGGGUUGUAAAGCACUUUUGUCCGGGAAGAAAUCGCACCUGAUAAUACCGGGUGUGGAUGACGGUACCGGAAGAAUAAGGACCGGCUAACUACGUGCCAGCAGCCGCGGUAAUACGUAGGGUCCAAGCGUUAAUCGGAAUUACUGGGCGUAAAGCGUGCGCAGGCGGUUGUGCAAGACCGAUGUGAAAUCCCCGGGCUUAACCUGGGAAUUGCAUUGGUGACUGCACGGCUAGAGUGUGUCAGAGGGGGGUAGAAUUCCACGUGUAGCAGUGAAAUGCGUGGAGAUGUGGAGGAAUACCGAUGGCGAAGGCAGCCCCCUGGGAUAACACUGACGCUCAUGCACGAAAGCGUGGGGAGCAAACAGG